UUCAACUAUUUUUCCGCCAAGGGGUAAUAGCAAUGGUGUACAAUAUCAGCUAUUAACUUAGCUGGUUAUUUUUGGGAUUUAGGCAUUUACGGAUCUAAAGACUAACUAUUCAAAAUUUGGUUCAAUAUUAACAUUAACUAGGCCUAGAGCACAGAUAUCUAAUAAUAUCAUAAAUGAAGAAAUCCAGAAACCGGAACCUGUGAGAAAUAUUAUGAUGAGCUAGCAAAACUGAUGCAAUACAAUGUAGGGAUCAUCUCGACAAAGGCCGAAUUCGUAUUUUUUACAUAAGAUAUCUUCUCCUAAUGCUCGAAAACCCAUGGUUUUCGGUAUAUUCAUUCGGAUUCAGCUCAUUCAUUAUCAUUAAGACAGUCACACCAUGACCCCCAGGAACAUUUUUCCUUGAUGAAGACCCGAUCUUAGUGUAUUGCAAACCCGGAGUAAAGAGGUGCUACCAGUACCUCUAGUCUGCGGGGACUAUGAACUGGUGAUGUCAAUGUACUCCUCGGAAUGAUUUAACAUGGGCUUGAACCAGAGAACUACAUAAUCUGGUACUACUGGUGGCUGGUCAGAUGGUUGAGGAUUCUUCGGAAUCCACGUAGUGACUGAGGUUUAAACCCAAAUUCGCGGGAAGAGAAAGUGGCGGUUAAAGGACUGAUGAACGGUGAAAUCUAUAAUUCGGAAUAAGUUCGGCGUUGUUGCCGAAUGACAA